GUGCAUUAGGGAUUGUAGCGGCAUCCUUUUUUUGCUGCCAUAAAUGGCAAAAAAAGAUAUAGCGGAAAGCCCGACCCUUU
rnacentral:sRNA from 1 species